ensembl:lncRNA
GUGGAGAGUGAUAUAUGAAAUGAUGGGAUGGAAGGAAGAAGAGAAGCAAAGAGUGAAUCACAGGCAGAGCCUAAAUUAUUUCUCACAGUUUUUUGUUGCCUUAUGGUUCCAAGCGCUGUCACCAAUCUUUGCAUUUUGUUAUUAUCUCAUGACACUUGUUUAAUCAGCUACCAUCUCUCCUAUGGACUUUUUAAUGUUUACAGUCUCAGAUCAACUCAGCCCUGCCCUCCAGCACUAUCCACAGCAACCCCUCAACAGCAACAUUGUACCUGUUCUGUCCUUAUUGUGCGUCCCUUUGCCCAACUUGACAGACAGCUAACGGUUUCAAUGAACAUUGGAGGCGGAAGGAGUGUGGGGAGCCAUAGCCCCGUCCACCAGGGUAUGAAGCAGGUAUGGAGGAGAUCCAGGCCCCAGAUAUCCAGAGGCCCCAGAGUACAAGGACCCGAGGAGGACCACCAAAGGGGGAGGAACCGUGCCACCCUACUGGGAAGAGCUGAGUAGAGCCCCAAACGAGAGGUCACCCCGCAGCUAUGGAGCAGAGGCCAGAGGGGGUUGCAGUGGCGUGCCCGUGGGCUCUGCCGGCAGCCAGCUGUGCCAGAGAGGACCGAGCUUCAGGCCCAGAGGCCUGAGGGCAUCCCACCCCCCGGAAGGAGCCCAGCCGGGCCACAGGCGCCUGGCCCCGCCAAUCGGCCACCAGGAGUGAGCCGGUACAUACAUGAGCGCCCAGCCCCAGACGACAAGGACCACCAACACACCAACGUCUGAGGGCAUCAGCCACCGGCAGGGAGUGUGGUGAGGGGAGAUAGGCCUCCGUACUUUAGAGGGCCUGAGAUGUACCCAGAGAGGUUGAGUCUAAGACCCAACCUGACAUAUAGACACAGACGAACAGGCACACGCGGACACAAACAUGCAUUCCCACCCCAUAUGCACAACCAAAUACUCGGCACUCACCCAACGUGUAGACAGACACAAAUAGACACUGCACAGACAGUCACACUCCCCAAACAUACUCUAUAUCCCAGGUCCAGGUACCCCCGCCCUCAGAGGGGCAAGCCGCACCUAGACCCAGGAGAUGUAACCCUUCUCUCUGGGGUGGAGGCAAGCGGACCACCUCCUUAUCUGCAGUAGCAGGGAGGCCCCGCAUCCCAGACCCCAGUCUGACGGCCAGCACCUCCUCCCAGCCCCCCAGCCCUGACGGCUAACAGAACCGGGGUGAGUGAAGACCUCAAACCUCCCUACACCCGCUCAUAUGUAGUGUUGCUGUGUGCUGUUCUAAAGUGCAUUUAAAACUCAGGAGAGCAUGGUACUAGCUUCCUCUCAGAGAGCAGCACGGCUCCUCCCGAAAACCCUUAGUGUCUAAAGCAUUUAAAAUUGAGGGUAGGGCACUAGCGCCAGAGGUGGGUUGGAGUACACCGACCAUCCUCUGGAUGCUGUAAAACGUGCCCACCCCCAAGGCCCUAUAUGUAUGUGUUAUGUGAGAGUGUGAGUAAUGUGGAUGUCUAGGUUGCAGAAUAAAAUUGAGGCACAGAAGAGGCGGCCAGAAGGGGAUAGAGGGAGAGUGCCUCCCCUGCACCCUGGUGACAUACCUGCACCCCAAGGUGGGUGUGGUAUAGCGGGAAUAGGGAGGC